rnacentral:tRNA from 1 species
GCAUUGGUGGUUCAGUUGUGGAAUUCUUGCCUUGCAUGUGGGAGACCUGGGUUUGAUACCCUGCCAAGGUA